rnacentral:rRNA from 1 species
GAUGAACGCUAGCGACAGGCUUAACACAUGCAAGUCGAGGGGCAGCACGGGAGUAGCAAUACAACUGGUGGCGACCGGCGCACGGGUGAGUAACGCGUAUGCAACCUACCUAUCAGAGGGGAAUAACCCGGCGAAAGUCGGACUAAUACCGCAUAAAACAGGGGCACCGCAUGGUGAUAUUUGUUAAAGAGAUUCGCUGAUAGAUGGGCAUGCGUUCCAUUAGGUAGUUGGUGAGGUAACGGCUCACCAAGCCGACGAUGGAUAGGGGAACUGAGAGGUUGGUCCCCCACACUGGUACUGAGACACGGACCAG